UGACAAGCAACACAACACAACAAAUUCAUUUGAUUUGGGAUGAAAAUUCAGUUACAUCCAAGAAAAAUACUAUCAGGCAUUCAUCAUUCUCGGCAUAUCAAUUCAGGUGUUGCUAUGUAUGAGCUUGGAGCUGCUUGUAAGCAUCACAUCACACUUGAAGACAAGUGUGCCAGAUCAUCACACUUGUUGGCAAGUCAGCACUAUCAAUGAUCGUGCACAUAGCAGUCCACCUCCGGAGCGCUAUCUGUCCCCGGAAGCUAGCAAAGUUCCAACAUUUUUUAUC